rnacentral:rRNA from 1 species
AGCGAACGCUGGCGGCAGGCCUAACACAUGCAAGUCGAACGAACUCUUCGGAGUUAGUGGCGGACGGGUGAGUAACACGUGGGAACGUGCCUUUUGGUUCGGAAUAACUCAGGGAAACUUGUGCUAAUACCGAAUGUGCCCUUCGGGGGAAAGAUUUAUCGCCAUUAGAGCGGCCCGCGUCUGAUUAGCUAGUUGGUGAGGUAACGGCUCACCAAGGCGACGAUCAGUAGCUGGUCUGAGAGGAUGACCAGCCACACUGGGACUGAGACACGGCCCAGACUCCUACGGGAGGCAGCAGUGGGGAAUCUUGCGCAAUGGGCGAAAGCCUGACGCAGCCAUGCCGCGUAAAUGAUGAAGGUCUUAGGAUUGUAAAAUUCUUUCACCGGGGACGAUAAUGACGGUACCCGGAGAAGAAGCCCCGGCUAACUUCGUG